rnacentral:rRNA from 1 species
UACGGAGAGUGCAAACGUUGUUCGGAUUCACUGGGCGUAAAGGGCACGUAGGCGGCUCGGCAAAUCGGUCGUGGAAUCUCGACGCUUACCGUCGAAACGGCGGCCGAAAAUACCGGGCUCGAGGGCGUGAGGGGUCACUGGAACUCCUGGUGAAGCGGUGAAAUGCGUAGAUAUCAGGAGGAACGCCGGAGGCGAAAGCGAGUGACUGGCGCGUUCCUGACGCUGAGGCGCGAAAGCUAGGGGAGCAAACGGG